GGACUGAUGGUCUAGUGGUUACGACGUCGCCUUUACACGGCGAAGGUCGCGGGUUCGAACCCCGUUCGGUUCA
rfam:Cyberlindnera jadinii strain CBS1600 genome assembly, contig: CJ6